ensembl:lncRNA
GGCUUUAAAGAACAUGUUUUCACUAGGCUCUGCUCUCUCACCGUGUUCCAGGGGUCCUAGUCUAUAGGCUACGUUUGGUGUUAUUUAGACAUUUUUAGUUAUGAUAUAAACCUUAUUAAAACAUAUAGGGCUAUGAGCUAUGCUACAUGAUGCGUGCGACUAUGAUUUGGAGAAAAAAAAGGCAUGCGCUGAUUCUUGCUUUAGACUGUAUACUCUGGGCACCAUUCACAAGUGAUAAUACAUUGUUCACAAGUGACAAUAUUGUCAAACCAAUAGACAUUUUCUGAAGUUAAUCUUAUCUUUUACAUAUACUAAAUAACGUUUGAAUUAUAUGUCGUGUUUUUCCCGCAGUUCAUUUUCAUGCCAGCCCUGUAUGUAUGCUACUCCUGUUGUAAAGCGAAGCAAUGUACUUAAUAAUAUUAGGAACGUUGAUAAAUAAACAAACUGCAUUGGGAAGUAUUCAGACCCCUUCCUUCCUCCACUUCCUGUUACAUUACAGACUUAUUCUAAAAAUGGAUUCAAUUGUUUGGUUUUUUUACUCAUCAGUCUACACACAAUACCCCAUAAUGACAUUGCAAAAACAGGUUUUACAACAUUUUCCAAUUUAUUUAUAUAUAUAUUUAAAUAUAUAUAAAAAAAUACCUUAUUUACAGAACUCCACCAUUCAGGCCUUUAUGGUAGAGUGGCCGAAGGAAUCCACUCCUCAGUAAAAGGCACAUGACAGCCCGCUUGAAGUUUGCCAAAAGGCACCUAAAGGACUCUCAGACCAUUUAGAAACACAAUUAUCUGGUCUGAUGAAACCAAGAUUGAGCUCUUUGGCCUGAAUGCCAAGUGUCACGUCUGGAGCAAACCUGGAAUCAUCCCUACGGUGAAGCAUGGUGGUGGCAGCAGCAUGCUGUGGGGAUGUUUUUCAGCGGCAGGGACUGGGAGAUUAGUCAGGAUCAAGGGACAGAUGAAUGGGGAGCAAAGAACAUUGAGAUACUUGAUAAAAACCUGCUCAGGACCUCAGACUGGGGCGAAGGUUCAACUUCCAACAUGACAACGACCCUAAACACACAGCCAAGACAAUGCAGUAGUGGCUUCGGGACAUGUCUCUGAAGGUCCUUGAGUGGCCCAGCCAGAGCCCGGACUUGAACCCGAUCGAACAUCUCUGGAGAGACCUGAAAAAAAGCUUUGCAGCGAUGCUCCCCAUCCAACUUGACAAAACUUGAGCGCAUCUGCAGAGAAGAAUGGGAGAAAGUCCCCAAAUACAGGUGUGCCAAGCUUGUAACGUCAAACCCAAGAAGACGCGAGGCUGUAAUCGCUGCCAAAAGGUGCUUCAACAAAGUACGGAGUAAAGGGUCUGAAUACUAAAUGUAAAUGUGAUGUUUUUGUCUUGUUAUUAUGGGAUAUUGUGAUGUCAUUAUGGGGUAUUGUGAUGUCAUUAUGGGGUAUUGUGUGGAGAUUGGUGAGGGGGGGAAAAAAACUUGGAAAAUGUCAAGGAGUCUGAAUACUUUACUAAUGCACUAUAUAUGGUAUUUUGUAUUGUAUUGUAUUGUAUUACAUGGUUGGGAUACGACUGAUGUGUUGUUGUCUCGCCUGGCUAUCUUAAGAUGAAUCCACAAGCUGUGGGUAGCUCUUGAUGGGAGUGUCUGCUCAAUCAGGGUUUUAUAAACUUGGUCCUGGGUGGAUCAUUUGUUUUACUACUAAAUGCCUUUUGUUUAAUGACACACAGGCUAUGAAAUGACUACAUGUGUUUUAAAACUAGAUGUAUUAUGUUAGCCAUUGAUGAUUCAUGUAUUUGGAUAACUUCAAUGAACUUAAUUGAUCUGCUAAUAAAAAAUACACUUUUUUGGGGGG